rnacentral:pre_miRNA from 1 species
UUAACUUAAAUUUGUAUGAAGUUGGAACAGCGCCCCUAGCGGUAAACGUAGGCAAACGUUCCAGCUCCAUACAAAUUUGAGUUA